rnacentral:rRNA from 1 species
AUUGAACGCUGGCGGCAGGCCUAACACAUGCAAGUCGAGCGAGUGGCGGACGGGUGAGUAAUGUAUGGGGAACUGCCCGAUGGAGGGGGAUAACUACUGGAAACAGUAGCUAAUACCGCAUACCAUCGGAUGUGCCCAUAUGGGAUUAGCUAGUAGGUAGGGUAACGGCUCACCUAGGCGACGAUCCCUAGCUGGUCUGAGAGGAUGACGAGCCAGACUGGGACUGAGACACGGUCCACACUCCUACGGUAGGAAGAAGUGGGGAAUAUUGCACAAUGGGUGCAAGCCUAAUGAAGCCAUGCCGCGCGUACGAAGAAGGGCUUCGGGUUGUAAAGUACUUUCAGGGGGGAGGCGUUACUAGCAGAAGAAGCACCGGCUAACCACGUGCCAGCAGCCGCGGUAAUUC